UUAAACUUUGUUUUUACGUUUUCAAGUCAGUUUCCAAGUGAUUUAGCAAUCCCUCCUAAUCCUCGGCCUAGAACGAUCCCUACUUACAUACUUUACUACAAUUGAUAAAAAGAGGGUUUAAUUUGUGUGCUUAUAUAUUUUGCAUCAAAUUUUUGGCGCCGUUGCCGGGGAUUAGCAACUUUGCUAAUCUCUUGGAUUGUUUUCUUUUGAAUUAUUGUAUUUUGUUUAAGUUUCUGUUUAAGUUGCUGAUUUGUUUUGUUUUCUUUGUUUUUAGGUACUAGUUUAUGACCCGUAGCUCACAACCUGUUCGUGAGCAUAUCUCCGACUUUGACGGUGAUUUUGAGAGGACUUUGAGAAGGAAAAAUAAAUUGCAAGAGUCUAAUCCUCUUAGUCCUGAGCCUGAAUUAGAAGAGCAAGAAGUUGAGGUUGAAGAGAAGGCCACGGCACAAGUGGGUGGAGA
rnacentral:lncRNA from 1 species